rnacentral:tRNA from 1 species
GCAUUGGUGGUUCUGCGGUAGAAUUCUUGCCUUCCACACAGGAGACCGGGGUUCAAUUCCUGGCCAAUGCA